UCUUUGUCUCUCAUCUUCUUCGUCGCCACCGCAUUAAGCCAUGGCUCAAUCUCGUCCCCCCCUCCACUUCCGUCUCGCUCCCAAAUUCCCCAAUCCCUUCCUCAUCUUUUCCGCACUUCUUUGGAGUUAGGGUUUCUCCUCCCCCUCCAGAAAAAAGAAGAAAAAAGCCGGAUUCCAUCCUUGCUUCCACGGAAGGGAUUCUACGCUCUUCUCCUCUGCUUGUUUUGAUAUUUAUUGGUAUUUAACGAAGUAUUGGGAUCCGAUGGCGUCGUUCGCCGGCCGGGGAGAGUUGGAUCUGGAGGGGUCGAGGCCGUGGCGCGGCGAUCGGGCGGAGGAAGAGGAGGCGGAGGGGAUCGACUACUUCGACCGGUUGCCGGACUCGUUGCUCCUCGACGUCUUCAACCGGAUCGGGGAUGUUAAGGCCCUUGGCCGGUGCUGCGUCGUCUCCCACCGCUUCCACUCCCUUGUCCCUCUCGUCGACUACGUUGUCGUCCACGUCGACUGCGUCAUCUCCGACGACCCUGCCCCGUCCUCCUCCUCCACCACCGCCGCCGGAUGCGGGGGCGGAGGCGCCGGGCCGGACAAGGGUCGGGGCGUCUUCUCUCAUCUCACCCGCCUCGUCUUUGGCAGCCUCGUCAAGCCCCUCCAGGCCCUCGGCCAAAUCCUCGCCCCCGCCGCCUCCGCUGCUUCCCGAAGAUCCUCGGUCUCCUCUUCGUCGUCUUCUUCGUCUUCCUCCUCCUCCUCUGAGGUCUCCCACCACUCCCCGACCGAGGUCCUAAAGAACUUCAAGGAGAUCCGCCGCCUCCGGAUAGAGCUCCCCUCCGGCGAGAUCCGUGUCGAAGACGGUGUCUUCCUCAAGUGGAAGGCCGACUUCGGCUCCACCCUCGACAACUGCGUCAUCCUUUGCGCCUCCUCUGUCCUCUCCUCCUCCUCGCUCCUCUCCCCUAAAUCUUCCAACCCUGACCCUAACCCUAGCUUCCAGGAUGCCUGCGGUGGAGAUGACAGCGGGAACAUCCCGGAGUCCUUCUACACCAAUGGAAGACUGAAGCUUAGGGUCGUGUGGACCAUCAGCUCCCUCAUCGCCGCCUCCGCCCGCCAUUACCUCCUCCAGCCGAUCAUCGCCAACCACGAGACGCUGGAGAGCUUGGAUCUCACAGACGCUGAUGGACAGGGGGUGUUAACCCUGAGCAAGGGGCAGCUGCAGGAGCUGCGGGUGAAGCCGGUCUCGGCGUCGGGGAUGUCGCAGAGGACGCUCGUGCCGGCCCUCAGCAUGCGGCUCUGGUACGCCCCCCACCUGGAACUGCCUGGUGGGGUGGUCCUCGAGGGAGCAACACUGGUGGCCAUUCGGCCGAGCGAGACACCUGGAGGCGGUGGUGGUGGUAUUGGGUCCUCUGAUGGAUGCUGGGUCUUGAAUGCCUUUGAAGAGCCAUACAGGACCGCAGCUAAGUUGCUCGUGAAGAGGAGAAGUUACUGCCUGGAGAUGAAUUCCUUCUGAUCUCAGAACAAGCUGCCCAGAAAAUCCAUCCCCCAAAGAAGAUUGGAUGAAGGCGAAGGAGACUGGGAUGUGGAAUUGUAUGCGGAAUCUGUUUGGGGUUGAUUGUUUAUUUCCAUAUGCUGAAGGCCUGGUAGUAUGUGAUCCCUUCUGAGGGUUUUAGAUGUUCUAGAGAGAAGAGGCAGAUGAAGGAUUCAGAUCUGUUUGUAACCAACUCCUCCACGGCGCGAUAACUCACAUUUUUCUGCUGCAAUGAUGAUGAGUUGCAACAUCACCUUCAUGAGCUGACAAGUAGCAUGCUCCUGUUUUUUUGGGCCCCCCUCUUUAAGAAUAUAUAGGGGCAGUUAGAGCAAGCUCUAUGCCCAACCCCGCCGAUCCUUGCAAUGUCAAUAUGGUACCUUCUGGGUAUGGUCUUUAGUGAACAUAUGUGUUGUAUUUGGUGCAUUAGCAUAAUUGCACUGAUCAAUCAAUCUAUCAGUUAUUCUGCUGUUGAACUUGGAUCAAGUUGUAAUUUUUCAUAAUUGUCUGUGUUCUUGUAACCUCAUGUACAAGCAGUCUGAAUUUUCGGUUUGUGACCGCCACACAGAACUAACACAUGACCUAUUAAUUCGCAAGAUGGUAGUUGUCUGUUCGCUUUGAUAUCUUAGCAGCAUUAUGUUGCUUUA